rnacentral:lncRNA from 1 species
AGUUGGUAAUUGUUCAUACUUUACAGUCCAAGGGGGAGUGGUGCUAAAAUUGAGAGGUUCUAGCAAAGCAUGUAUUUUUUCAGUGUAUCCAUCGAUAUCAAAAUUAUUCAUUCCAAAAUAUGUUAGACAUGCCUGUAAAGGAUCUGAGUUGAGUAAGGCAAGAGCUUUAUCUUCUACAACUUCCUCUAACAGGUUGAUCUCAUUAUGGUCAUACCUAGGUGGUCCCUG